CAAUAGCGUAUAUUAAAGUUGUUGCGGUCAAAAAGCUCGUAGUUGGAUUUCUGUUGAGAGCGACCGGUCCAUACCAUGUAUGCGUAUCUGGCUUGCUCUCGGCAUCCUCUCGAUAGACGUUACUGCGCUUGAUUGCGUGGUGCGGAUCUCGGGACUUUUACUUUGAGGAAAUUAGAGUGUUCACGGCAGGCUUUCGCCAGAAUACAUUAGCAUGGAAUAAUACUAUAGGAUCUUGGUUCUAUUUUGUUGGUUCCUAGAAUUGAGAUAAUGAUUAAUAGGGACAAUUGGGGGCAUUCGUAUCAACACGUCAGAGGUGGAAUUCUUGGAUUGUGUUGCGACGAACUACUGCGAAAGCAUUUGCCAAGGAUGUUUUCAUUGA
rnacentral:rRNA from 1 species